rnacentral:rRNA from 1 species
CUCCGGUGGAUAGAGAUGGGCACGCGCAAGAUUAGAUAGUUGGUGAGGUAACGGCUCACCAAGUCUACGAUCUUUAGGGGGCCUGAGAGGGUGAUCCCCCACACUGGUACUGAGACACGGACCAGACUCCUACGGGAGGCAGCAGUGAGGAAUAUUGGACAAUGGGUGCAAGCCUGAUCCAGCCAUCCCGCGUGAAGGAUGACGGCCCUAUGGGUUGUAAACUUCUUUUGUAUAGGGAUAAACCUACUCUCGUGAGAGUAGCUGAAGGUACUAUACGAAUAAGCACCGGCUAACUCCGUGCCAGCAGCCGCGGUAAUACGGAGGGUGCAAGCGUUAUCCGGAUUUAUUGGGUUUAAAGGGUCC